rnacentral:misc_RNA from 1 species
GAUGAAGAACGUAGUGAAAUGCGAUACGUAGUGUGAAUUGCAGAAUUCAGUGAAUCAUCGAAUCUUUGAACGCACAUUGCACCUCUCGGUAUUCCGGGAGGUAUGCCUGUUCGAGCGUCAUUUGUACCCUCAAGCUCUGCUUGGUGUUGGGUGUUUGUUCCGCCUCUGUGUGUGAACUCGCCUCAAAACAAUUGGCAGCCGGCGUACUUGUUUCGGAGCGCAGCACAUUUUGCGUUCCAGAUCAACGUACAGCGGCAUCCAAGAAGCCUUAUUUAACGCUCUUGACCUCGGAUCAGGUAGGGAUACCCGCUGAACUUAAGCAUAUCAAUAAGCGGAGGA